UGUAAUCAAUGUGGUAAAGCCUUUUCACAGAACAGUCAUCUUCAUAGGCAUGAAAGAAGUCAUACCGGGGAGAAACCCUAUGGAUGUAAUCAAUGUGGUAAAGCCUUUGCAUGUAAAAGUGACCUUCACAGGCACGAAAGAAGACAUACUGGAGAGAAACACUAUAGUUGUAAACAGUGUGGUAAAGUCUUUUUACAGACCAGUCAUCUUCAUAGGCAUGAAAGAAGUCAUACUGGACAAAAUGCUUAUGAAUGUAAUCAGUGUGGUAAAGCCUUUACAUGUUGAGCAACUUUUAAAAGUAUGACAGAAUUCACACUGGCAAAAAGCCAUGAACCUAAUGAGUGAGGUAAAGCCUUCCUUGCAUUCCAAAUACAUUUUUCCCAUUGAGCUAUUUUACUGGGGCUUGAGUAAGAUUAGAAACAGUCCAUCAUUAAAAUACUGUCUCCUUUACAAAUUGUAAACAUAUUGUCAUCCAAGGAUCUAGGAACAAACAAU
rnacentral:lncRNA from 1 species